UCCGGAGGAGGGGGCUGAGGCUGCUUCCCAGUGCCUGAGCCUCAGCCCCACCAGCUGAAUCUCUGGCCCAAUUACAGAUGGAGGAGUCCAGAGCCAGGUCCCAGCCCCACUCCAGCUUCACAGAACAACCAAGGGAUGUCCCUUGCCUGGAGCCAACAGGGGUGCUUGUGGAGUGUGAGGAGGGGGCUGCCUGGGGUAUCUUGGAUGCAGGGCAGUUCUGUCUUCUUUGAUCUGCUAAUGAGCUGUGAAUUAAAGACAAAUCUGAAAUGGUGGGAGGCUUUCAGGAGGCUGGUACAGAGUGAGGAUAAGAUGGGCAGAAUGAGGACAACGCAAAUACAACACUGACCGGAGCGGGGCCAGUGCCCCCAGCCACAAGCCCCACCAAGGCCCUGGGGAGAAGCAAGCCAGUUGGUCUCUUUAAGGCAAGGAAUGCGUACCCUAUGCGUUUCUGAGUCGGGCCUGCGUUCCAGGCCAGCCACUUGCAGCUGUGUGACCUUGGGCUUGUCACUUCACCUUCCCGAACACCACUCUUCCCCACCACAGAAAGAAGAAUAUCUACGGCCUUGUCAUCAGCAUGAGAGCGAUCACAUAUUUGGCUGAACCAUGGGAAACUACUGUGUCGCCGCCGAGCUGACAAUACAGUGGCAUCCCAUCAAGCGGGCACAGUGCAUCCCCCCAGCGGUGGUGGUGGUCUCAUGGACCAGGAAGCAGACCUGGAGGCACCCAGCACCUCACCUGAGGCCCCACCCAUCAGCCAAGAAGCAAAGCCACCUCUGGGGGACUGUGGAGUCUGUGCUCACAGGGGUGGGGCAGAACGUGGCACAGAACAGGUGCUUGCAGGCAAGCCACCUGGUGUCCUGGGCCACUGGUGCCCUGGGGCAAGGCUGCUCCAGCUGGAGGCCAGAGGCUGGCGGGGAGUGGAGGGGAGGUGCCCUGAGAGGGUCCCGCAAGCCCCUUGCCUCUGCCCUCAGACACUGGGGGGUACCGACCUUCCAGGAGCCCACGUGGAGGAGCGGUCAGUGCCUGGCAGGCUGAGGGGGCCUGGGGACAGGAGAGGAGAUCCAAGGAUGGGGGCUGUCCAGGGAAAGGCCCUGGCGAGGACUCAGCAGAGCAAACAUGACACUGGCGCUCCCCUGCUGUGCCUCAGUCUGCUCCUCAGCAAAAUGGGUGUGAUAAUUCUCCUUAGCUGACCUCUCUGAGGAGGAAGAGACAAUGAAUGAGGCGGGGAGGGGAGUGAUCACCUCUUCUCCCAGAUGAGAAACCAGAGGCCGAGGGAAGAGAAGGGACAUCUGGCCAGGCCACCAAGAAGCAUCCUUGCUGGGGGGCUGAGACAAUGCCUCCAGGUCUAGGCUCUGGAAACAGCUUCUGGGUCUUUAAUGCCACAGGACAGAGAUGCCACGAUCAAGGCCUGCUUUUCCUGCAGUCUGAGAGCUUCUGGAGGCCAGGACCGUAUCCAGUGUUGCUCAUCCUCAAUCCUCAGCAUCCAGCAGAGCUCUUGACACACUGAGGAAUGAAUGAAUAAGUGACUGAAGAGAGCCAUGGUUUUCAGAAGUAGGCUGGCAGGGGAGCAGGGUGCCAGAAGUCAUGGGUGCCCCUUCUUGGAACAUCCAUUAAAUCCAGCAUAUGGGGGAAGUAACCAGGUGACAGGUUAACACUUUUUUUUUAAAUUGUGGCUGUUUCUGGGGGAUCUCUGGGUGGCUCAGCGGUUUGGCGCCUGCCUUUGGCCCAGGGCGUGAUCCUGGAGACUCAGGAUCGAGUCCUGCAUCGG